AUGCGAUACGUAGUGUGAAUUGCAGAAUUCCGCGAAUCAUCGAGUCUUUGAACGCAAGUUGCGCCCGAGGCUCGUCCGAGGGCAUUUCCGUUAGAGCGUCACC
rnacentral:rRNA from 1 species